rnacentral:rRNA from 1 species
AAGUGAGAAUGCCGGUGUGAGUAGCGAAAGACGGGUGAGAAUCCCGUCCACCGAUUGACUAAGGUUUCCAGAGGAAGGCUCGUCCGCUCUGGGUUAGUCGGGUCCUAAGCUGAGGCCGACAGGCGUAGGCGAUGGAUAACAGGUUGAUAUUCCUGUACCACCUAUAAUCGUUUUAAUCGAUGGGGGGACGCAGUAGGAUA